ensembl:lncRNA
CCCGCAUUUUCAUUUUUCACUGGGCCCCACAAGUUACAAAACUGGUCCUGACCAAGCCUUUCCACCCACAGCUCCACCGCAGGGUGGUGCUUCUCCUUCAGCUACAAUCUAUGAUCUUCCCUCAGCCUCCUUCUGGUCAGAUUACUUCCCUCGCAGGAAUCUCCUUGGGCGGGGUCCCAUGAAUAAGACCCCAAGUCAAUACCAGCAUUAGGUUCUUUUACUCCAGAGAAGCGAGCGUUUUUUGGAGAACAGCUAUUGUGAACCUCUGUGCUAAUGCACAAGCCUGCUCACCAGCUUCUCUGCGGAGAGCUUCAACUCAAGCGCCAGUCAGACGCUUCUAUUGUGUGCCUAAGCAACAAGCGUCCCAUCCAGGCUCUCCAUGAGCUCCUUGAAGCCCCUCCUCCUCCAGAUAACUGUUGACAAAUCCUUUCCUCCUCUAACUUCCUGACUUCUUAGACCUCGAUUCUUUUCUACCCUCAGGAUGGGUGAGGAGCUCAGGGACAAAACUUCAGUUUUGGGCUGCUCUGUGCAGGGUCUGCAUGGUGGGGGGGGGGGGGGUUCAGCCUCCCUUUGGAAGCUGCAAGUUCUUGCCCCCUGCCUGCCCCCUGAGGAAACUUAUCAGAAACAGAGAUAGCCUGCCAAUAUAGGGCCCAGGCACAGCAUUUACAGUGACAACAGUUUACUCAAAAUUAGAGAUUUUGAAAUUAAAAUAUUUGAGAAACAUUUAAAAGAGUCACAACUCUGUGAAGAUGUUAGUACCUUUAUCAAUAGGAGGGAAAAAUUCCAUUCAACAAAUAUUGUGCUCAUCUCGUUUGUGCAGGAACCUGUAAUAAGUUCUGUUGAUACAUGAGUUAUUAGGACAGCCCCACGGUCUUGGGGAGCCCACAGUCAGAAACCAGGGAACAUGAAUAGACCAUUUUCUGAACUGAGAUGGGUGACAAUAGACUUUUGUCGUGGAGUCUGUGUGAGUUUCCCGAGCUUGUGGCUGGGAGUCAGGGUUGAGGAGCUUCUUCCCUGAAGCAGCCUGGUGGGUGGAUUGCUGUUAAGAACCUCUUUGAAAGAUCCAGUCCGCAUCUCUGAGUCUCGGGGCUCCAACAUACGCGUGAUGAAAUGGAGGAGUCAGCGGUCUGAGGUGAAUCCUGCCUUAAAGAGCGUGUGCCUUCUCUGGCUGGAUGCCGCCAGGAACCAUGAUUAAAUCAGACCCUCGUGGCUAGCUAACCUUACAGCAUGAUCCCACCCAGUUUAGGACAAAUGAGUACAUAUGUGAGAGUGAGAGUGUUGUUAACAGUCUUUUCUUGAAAAGACCCUCCAGAUGCACACAGAUUAACUUUAACCACGUAGUCCACUUCAGUGCUGCAAAGUCUAUUCACAAAUGGAGGACUGAGCCUUUAGUCAUGGACUAGCAAACGCCAGUUUUCUUUCUCUGUUUACUUAAUUCUUUAAAAUAUAGUACACGCGUAAGACUUAUGAGCCGGGAUCAAUGUAUGAUGUGCGAAGUUUACUGAAAUUAGUCGAAUUUAAGUGGAGAUGUUUUGAUUAAGACAGAGGGUCUCAACCCUGGCCAAAUAGCAAAGUCAUCAGGGGAAGCUCUUAAAAGGAAAACAGAUUACUGGAAUCAGAAUUUCUGAUUUUUAAGUUUCCCCAGGCGGUUCCCAUAAUCAGCCAAGGAGAGAAACGCUGGUCUAGGGAUUAGAAGAGCUGCUCCCGGGUCCCCAGGAGGCGGUGGGUCAGCCCUUUCUCUCCCACAGCUGCCCUGGACGUCAGCCCACAGGCGGGAGGGAGCUCAGUGCUAACCAAAUGCCCACGAGUGAAAUCUGCCGGAAAGGCAGAUCCAGGUGUGAUCCUUGACUGACAGCCUGAAACCCCAGCUGAACUUCCAAAGCAUCUUCGGGUCUCUGAAUCUACUAGGAGGAGGCCAGCAGAUAAGGACAGAAUUUCCCCUGAUGAGAAACUACAUCUGCUAUAUAAUUAACAGAGGCUUAGGAACAUUGGAACUGAGGUUUAGGGAACACUCCCUGUCCUGCCUCUUGGAGAAAGUCUAACACUCUAAGGAUUCAGUUUUUUCCUCCCCAAGUCUUUCCGAAUACAAUCAGAUUAUCUAAAUAUGUAAAUACCAUCCACAUCAGUCACUGGUAGGUAGAUGAUAUCUGGAGAAAUCCUGAUGUACUGUUUCAGACUGUAAAAAAUUUCCUCUGGACAAAUGAAUAGUAAACUCUUUUUAUCCCCUUCAGCCUUGUAAUAGCCAUUCUUUAAAUCUAACACGAAGAACCAUUGACUCUGCCAGAAAGCCCAGGGCACACUACCAUCAAGGUAUACUGGUCAGAUUUAGUCCAUUUCUUUAGUAUGUGACCAUCACAUCUAUUUUUAAUCUUUCUAAUUUCUCAAGUCUCAUUGGAUCCCCAAACUCAGUACUAUGAUGGUUACAAGGUCUUUAAUAUGGUCUGAUGGCUUUUUAACCGUACUCUUUAAAGGGUCAAUUGUCUCAUAAUUAUCACCUAGACUCUACACCUUUCCAAAAACCCAACCUCACUCUUGAAGAAUAUCACACUCCUGUCGGGCAGUUUUCCCAUUCUUCUCUCCAUCCAUCGCGUGCAAUCUAAGGAGUCACUGAAGUCAGCAUCACCUAAACUCAGCUCUCAGGCUUCUCUCCUUUGGAAAUGCUAGCUAGGACAUUUUGGAAAUGACUUCUUUGGGCCUUCUGACAUCUGUUAGUGUCAGCAAUCAUAUGGGUAAGUAUGGUCAUAUUCUGUUAUGAGAAUAUAUUAUCACAAUAAUGAAUAAUCACUUUUUAAUAUUAAAAGUUUAGACCAACCUAAAUAAAAAUUUCACUGGAAAUUCUGAUUCAAAGCCUUGCCUGCCUUAUGACUAUACUCUCUUCCCCCUUCUGCUUCAGAGUCCUCUAAAAUCAGGUUGUGGAGAGAUGGGAUUAGAAGAAAGAAGCAACAAAUUUUUGCCUAACUCACCCUGCAGCAGUCCCUGGUCUUGCAUGUCCUGGGGUGGCAAGCCUCCUUAGAGGCCUGUGUGGCCACAGCACGAGUCCUUUGGAGAGCCAGUAGGGAGCGCCCUCACUAUAGAGUUGUCUCGUGUGGGUCAUGUGCUUUCUGGCAGACUUAUUCCAAUCAUUCACAGCUCCAGCUUGCUCCUGGGAUCGUCUUACCUAGAGGAUGGCCCUCUGGAUUGGAGACUAGUAAAACGGCUCAAACCUAAUGUCCUUGACUGAUGGGAAACUCACAUGUCCUUGCCAGCUGAUAAAGGCUACACUGCUGUGGCUUCUUCUUACACGUCUACUGAUGUGGACUAAUUCAGCAAGCUCCUCAUCUGCUCAAUCUUCAGGGAUAUAAUUUGGAGAAAAUAACCAUCGUUUUUCCUCCUGCACUUUCUGGUUUCUGCCACGAUUUCCACCCAUCAAGCAGGUGGCUUUCCUCCUCUGGGGGAGGGCACACGCAGCCGAGAAAGAGGAAAUCAACUGAGUUCCCGAUGAGAUAUGUUAAAACUCCUGUGAGCAAGGCAUUUAGAAAGCCAAGGCUUGGAAGAGCCAAGCUUUUUGAGAUCACAAAGGGUUUUUGAGCAACAGAAGGCUAAGCCUCUGGAGACUGCUAGCCAUAGAGCCUUAAGGAUAAAUUUGUGGAUAAAUGCACGCUGAGAUAAGAGUAUUUUCCCACACAAAAGGAGAUGAGGUUUAAAGAGUGAGUGGGAAGAGCAUUAUCCGAGGGGAAGUGACUAGAGUUUGGAAACCGAGGGUGAGUGAGAUGGCAUGUUGUGCCCUGCCCUCAGCCUAGCCGCCCUCUGGAUGGUGUAGACGCAGACCGCAGACGGAUUUGGUGGGGGUCUUGGAACAGAGGACACAAGUUUUCUAUGAGCCUGAGGGAGCACAAGCCUCAAAGAUAAGUCCUUUUGGUGUGCAUGUUCCCAACCAGUCGUCAUCAUGUAGCAAUAGAAAACUACAUCAGAGAUGUUUCUUAGAAACGGCCACAGAGACCCCACCCCAAGUCUCUCACGAUCUUGGACCAGCACAGAAGAGUUUUCAAGAGUUUUCCAAAGUUUUAUGUAUUCCUAAGAAGAGCACAAGAGAGCCGGUUGGGAAUUUGCACUGACCUUACAGGUGGGGUAAACAGGAUGUGAAGUGACCUUAGACACGGCAGAGGGAAGGUGGAGGGGGAUGACCCACCAUUGUGGGUCAAAGUGGGCUAGAGGCUGAUGAGCAAGUAGCAGUAGACCCCAGCACAGGACUGAGAGAAAGUGAGGAAAAGAAGGAGACGCGUCUGCCCGCCAAUGUAUGCCAAUGUAUGCUGAAUCUCCUCCAAGAAAUAAACUAUGUCAUCCCCUAGAGAAAAAAGGAGAAGAAUACGAAAACAAUCUGGAAUUGACUAUUUACCCACAAGAGACAGAGGAAACCUCCUAGGCCUUCUACCUAAAUACACAGUGAACUCCAGAGGAGGGAGGUGAGAAGUCUUUCAAUUAUCCACAAAAUCUUGCUGAAUCCUGGGAAUGUUUUGAAGAAACAGACAAGGACAAUAGUUGCCAAAUUCUAAGGAAGUGCUAAAGAUGGACUAAAGUAAAUACUCUUUGAAGAGGACCUAGAGGGAGAAAUGUGGUAAGAUACACCCUGGGGGUGACACUUGAAACUUCCCACCGCCUUCCCACAUGGCCUCGAUGCCAAGGAGUGGGAUCUGGGCAUUUACUGCCGCAGAAGGGGAAUAGACUGAGUUGAAAACAAAUGGUUGGUUGGUUCCUACGUAUCCUUAUUGCAUAAAUAAGAAUAUCGAAGGCCAACGCUUACUAGAGCGAGAGCC